rnacentral:misc_RNA from 1 species
UGGUGCCGUCUUUUCACUGUCUCGCACCCCUCGCAAUGGGGUGCUCGUUUUUGGUGCCUGUGCGGUUCUACCCUGGAGGGAUACGUUUGGAUCGUGAUUGAGGCUUGCUUGUCCCGCCGAAGAUUUUGUCUCGACGGGACAGUCGGAAUGUCGGCCAGCCCAGCGUGCGGUGGCGGCGCGUUGCUGUACCCCGCACAUCGGUGCUCGCCGGUGCUCUCGGAUGUCGGUGCUAAUUAUGGCGCAGGUCCUGCACGGACCCUGUUUGCCUCGUGGCGUCCCUGGUUCGGAAUUUUGCCCGGAUCGCUCCGCUGUCUAGCGGUGGAUUCCUUAUGGCGGACGGAACCGUCGGUCCGGGUCUGCACCCUGGACUUCGGAGCGGAUGGCGUUGAUUUUUCGGGCAAGCGAGAUGCGACCCGUUCAAUUUGCGAUUGCCGGUCCAC